rnacentral:rRNA from 1 species
UGGGGAAUAUUGGACAAUGGGCGCAAGCCUGAUCCAGCCAUGCCGCGUGAGUGAUGAAGGCCCUAGGGUUGUAAAGCUCUUUCACCGGUGAAGAUAAUGACGGUAAUCGGAGAAGAAGCCCCGGCUAACUUCGUGCCAGCAGCCGCGGUAAU